rnacentral:rRNA from 1 species
UGGGGAAUAUUGCACAAUGGGCGCAAGCCUGAUGCAGCGACGCCGCGUGGGGGAUGACGGCCUUCGGGUUGUAAACUCCUUUCGCCAGGGACGAAGCGUUUUGUGACGGUACCUGGAGAAGAAGCACCGGCUAACUACGUGCCAGCAGCCGCGGUAAUACGUAGGGUGCAAGCGUUGUCCGGAAUUACUGGGCGUAAAGAGCUCGUAGGUGGUUUGUCACGUCGUCUGUGAGAUUCCACAGCUUAACUGUGGGCGUGCAGGCGAUACGGGCUGACUUGAGUACUGUAGGGGUAACUGGAAUUCCUGGUGUAGCGGUGAAAUGCGCAGAUAUCAGGAGGAACACCGAUGGCGAAGGCAGGUUACUGGGCAGUUACUGACGCUGAGGAGCGAAAGCAUGGGUAGCAAACAGGAUUAGAUACCCUGGUAGUCCAUGCCGUAAACGGUGGGCGCUAGGUGUAGGGGCCUUUUGGGGUUUCUGUGCCGUAGCUAACGCAUUAAGCGCCCCGCCUGGGGAGUACGGCCGCAAGGCUA